UUACUCCUUAUCAGGAUAAGUACCUCAGUUAAGAAUGUGGUUUCCCCAUGGGGUAGGCUUUGCCAUUGCAAUUUGGUUGGGUUGAACCCUAUGAUUUCCCCAAGGAAACUCAACUGAAUAAUAUAUUGUGGCGAGGAACCAAGAUAUAGAGUCUUUCUCCCAU